rnacentral:rRNA from 1 species
GAAAAUAACUAUGAUUCCCUUAGUAACGGCGAGUGAACAGGGAAAAGCCCAAAUUUGUAAUCUGGCACUUUUUACGAGUGUCCGAGUUGUAAUUUGUAGAAUCGUUAUCCGCGCUGGACCAUGUACAAGUCUGUUGAAAAGCAGCAUCAUUGAAGGUGAAAAUCCUGUAGAUGAUAUGGACUACCAGUGCAUUUGUGAUACGGUUUCUAAGAGUCGAGUUGUUUGGGAAUGCAGCUCAAAGUGGGUGGUAAAUUCCAUCUAAGGCUAAAUAUAAGUGAGAGACCGAUAGCAAACAAGUACCGUGAGGGAAAGAUGAAAAGAACUUUGAAAAUAGAGUUAACAGUACGUGAAAUUGCUGAAAGGGAAACGUUUGAAGUUAGUAUUGUAUUCGUUGGAUCAGCUUCGCAAGGAGUGUAUUCUGAUGAUAAGCAAGUCAACAUCAAUCUUUGGGUGUUGGAUAAGGGUUUUGAGGACGUAGCAAUUUAAUUGUGUUAUAACUUGAGACUUGGAUACAAUGCUUGGGAUUGAGGAACGCGUAGUAAGCUUUGAGCGGAUCAGCAAUGAUCUCCUUACUAUGGAUGUUGGUGAAAUAACUUUAAGC